CUCAGCGUGGAAGAGCUGUACCCUCAUCCUUAAAGUCCCCGUCUUGAGCUCACAUCCCGCUCCCAGAACUCUCUCCAAGUCACAACUACAGUACUACAUAGGGGCGAAGGGCUUUGGACGGCACCUAGAGAAUACAAACCACUCUCAUGAGGACAGAGGACGUUGAAGUGAGGGAGAGAGGUGUAUAGAGCCCAGCCUCUGCCUGAAGGAGCUUCCAGACUGGUGGUUUCAUUGAAGCAAAAGGAUCUGGCACUGAACCCCAUGACAGAAUUGUCAAAGAGAACAAGAUCAGCGAGGUUACAGGGGCAACCUCAGAGAGCUCCUUCCUCCCUUCCACCAUGACAGGACUCAGAGAGAAGGCACCAUCUAUGGACCAGGAAAGAGCUUCUCACCAAACACUAAGUCUGCACUUGCAACCUCCAGCACUGUAAAAAAUAAAUUUCU